CAAAUUUUAAAGCUAUUUCUCUCUCCCCGACAAAUUUAACCCUUUGAAAAAUUUUCUCUUCCACAUCUGAGAAACCCUAUCUAUCUUGCUCUCCCUUAGGCACAAAAGAACCCAGCUCAACACAAAUUUCUUGGCAGAUCUCCCCCAUUAAACUCUCCUCCAAUCAAAACUGAAAACUCAAUCUCCCCCAUCUCUCUUCGACAAACAUAGAACCCAUCUCAAUCACUUUUUCAAACCAUACAGCCAAACCAUCUCAAUCCCUCUCACGAGUUCUUGUUGGUGUUGAGAAGAUUUCAACGCUUUCAAUCCGUAUUGUUUCACUAUUGUUGGGUAAGGCCUUCGAUUCACUGUUAAUCAAUUUAUUUAGAGUUUCUUUUGGAUUGGGUUUUAGGGUUUUAAUUGAAAUAUCUAUUCAAAUUUGAUUUGUGUUUGCUGGGUUAUAUUCGAAUUGGGGAUACAAGGUUAUCUUUUGUCUGGGUUAUGUUCAAAUUUUCUUUUCGAAGGUACGAUUCGUCUUUGAAAUCGGUGAAGGAGCUUAACCAACCCCCUGGAUUCGAAUUGCGGGGUGUUCGUGAAUCGAAGAAGGAGAUGAUAGGCUUAAUCUAAAGUAACCCGUGGAGUCUUGGAAUUAAUAAUUCUUUUCUCAAGAGGCAGUGUAAGUUGGAGUAUUACUAGGGUCUGCUGUGGCUGUAAUUGAAUGAGUGAAAGUGAGAAAAAUAAGAGUCAGUUUAAUCACGAUAUGGUAUUUCCCAAGGCCAGAAGCCCCAUAAUAUCUAUUAUUUCUUCCUUAUAAAUUUACUACUCAAGCUUCUAGGGCUCUACAUACAUUAUCACUAAUCUUUUGUGUUGUACUUUCAAAAUCAAUGUUGCUCAGAUCUUCUAGAUUACUGAUGAUAUUUAACUUGGAUUGGAAGGACAGGUUGUCCCUUUCUACAUGAAAUAUAUGUAUGAUAAUACUCCUUUUUAUUAUUCAUAUUAUUAGUUACUUUUUGACGUUACUGUUAUAUAUUCUCCAUAAUACAGUCUGGUUUCUGCUACAGGUGGAAGGAUGGGUUCCUACUAUAAGGAGCAUAGAAUUCUUCCCCACUUCCAGAACUCAGCUUGCUGUAUAUCUAUUCAAUAUAACUUUGCAAUGAGGCUUGGUGGCUUUGGGAUAAGGAUGGUUUUAUGUUAUCUACUUUCAACUCCAUCAGCUUUUUGUUUGAAGCUAGUACGUAUCUAGUCCUCACACUACUUUCAACCCCAGCCAUUUUUCUUUCUUUUAUUGUGCCUUG